GAACAUGAGAGUUUGAUCCUGGCUCAGAACGAACGCUGGCGGCAUGCCUAACACAUGCAAGUCGGACGCCGCAGUCGCCUUCGGGCGGCAUGUGGAGUGGCGGACGGGUGAGUAACGCGUAGGAACCUGCCCGGAAGUGGGGGACAACCGCUGGAAACGGCGGCUAAUACCGCAUACGCCCCAAGGGGGAAAGGCUUCGGCCGCUUUCGGAGGGUCCUGCGUUCGAUUAGCUAGUCGGUGAGGUGACGGCUCACCGAGGCGACGAUCGAUAGCUGGUCUGAGAGGAUGAUCAGCCACACUGGGACUGAGACACGGCCCAGACUCCUACGGGAGGCAGCAGUGGGGAAUAUUGGACAAUGGGCGAAAGCCUGAUCCAGCAAUGCCGCGUGUGUGACGAAGGCCUUAGGGUUGUAAAGCACUUUCGCCCGCGAGGAUGAUGACGGUAGCGGGAGAAGAAGCCCCGGCUAACUCCGUGCCAGCAGCCGCGGUAAUACGGAGGGGGCGAGCGUUGUUCGGAAUUACUGGGCGUAAAGGG
rnacentral:rRNA from 1 species